rnacentral:rRNA from 1 species
AGAUUAGCAUAUCAAUAAGCGGAGGAAAAGAAACCAACAGGGAUUGCCCCAGUAACGGCGAGUGAAGCGGCAACAGCUCAAAUUUGAAAUCUGGCCCCCGGGUCCGAGUUGUAAUUUGCAGAGGAUGCUUCGGGCGAGGUGCCUUCCGAGUUCCCUGGAACGGGAUGCCACAGAGGGUGAGAGCCCCGUCUGGUCGGACACCGAGCCCGUGUGAAGCUCCUUCGAAGAGUCGAGUAGUUUGGGAAUGCUGCUCAAAAUGGGAGGUAUAUGUCUUCUAAAGCUAAAUAUUGGCCAGAGACCGAUAGCGCACAAGUAGAGUGAUCGAAAGAUGAAAAGCACUUUGAAAAGAGGGUUAAAAAGUACGUGAAAUUGUUGAAAGGGAAGCGCCCAUGACCAGACUUGGGCCCGGUGAAUCACCCGGCGUUCUCGCCGGUGCACUUUGCCGGGCACAGGCCAGCAUCAGUUUGGCGCGGGGGACAAAGGCUUCGGGAACGUGGCUCCCUCGGGAGUGUUAUAGCCCGCUGCGUAAUACCCUGCGCCGGACUGAGGUACGCGCAUCGCAAGGAUGCUGGCGUAAUGGUCAUCAGCGACCCGUCUUGAAACACGGACCAAGGAGUCGUCUUCGUAUGCGAGUGUUCGGGUGUCAAACCCCUACGCGGAAUGAAAGUGAACGCAGGUGAGAGCUUCGGCGCAUCAUCGACCGAUCCUGAUGUUCUCGGAUGGAUUUGAGUAAGAGCAUACGGGGCCGGACCCGAAAGAAGGUGAACUAUGCCUGUAUAGGGUGAAGCCAGAGGAAACUCUGGUGGAAGCUCGCAGCGGUUCUGACGUGCGAAUCGAUCGUCAAAUAUGGGCAUGGGGGCGAAAGACUAAUCGAACCUUCUAGUAGCUGGUUCCGC